rnacentral:rRNA from 1 species
UAAACCUCUUUCAGCGCUGACGAAGCCUUUGGGUGACGGUAGGCGCAGAAGAAGCACCGGCUAACUACGUGCCAGCAGCCGCGGUAAUACGUAGGGUGCGAGCGUUGUCCGGAAUUAUUGGGCGUAAAGAGCUCGUAGGCGGUUCGUCGCGUCGGCUGUGAAAACCCGGAGCUCAACUCCGGGCCUGCAGUCGAUACGGGCGGACUUGAGUGUUGCAGGGGAGACUGGAAUUCCUGGUGUAGCGGUGAAAUGCGCAGAUAUCAGGAGGAACACCGGUGGCGAAGGCGGGUCUCUGGGCAACUACUGACGCUGAGGAGCGAAAGCGUGGGGAGCGAACAGGAUUAGAUACCCUGGUAGUCCACGCCGUAAACGUUGGGCGCUAGGUGUGGGGGCCAUUCCACGGUCUCCGUGCCGCAGCUAACGCAUUAAGCGCCCCGCCUGGGGAGUACGGCCGCAAGGCUAAAACUCAAAGGAAUUGACGGGGGCCCGCACAAGCGGCGGAGCAUGUUGCUUAAUUCGAUGCAACGCGAAGAACCUUACCUAGGCUUGACAUGCACGGAAAUCUCGCAGAGAUGCGGGGUCCGUAAGGGCCGUGCACAGGUGGUGCAUGGUUGUCGUCA